UAGGGAAUAUUAGAAAUGGACGAAAGUCUGAUCUAGCAACACCGCGUGCGCGAUGAAGGCCUUCGGGUUGUAAAGCGCUUUUUGAGAGGAUGAGGAAGGACAGUACUCUUAGAAUAAGCCUCGGCUAACUACGUGCCAGCAGCCGCGGUAAAACGUAGGAGGCGAGCGUUAUCCGGAUUUACUGGGCGUAAAGCGUGUGUAGGCGGUUUGAUAAGUUGGAUGUGAAAGCUCCUGGCUUAACUGGGAGAGGUCGUUCAAAACUAUCAGACUUGAGAGUGGUAGAGGGAGGUGGAAUUCCGCAUGUAGUGGUGAAAUGCGUAGAUAUCGGGAGGAACACCAGUGGCGAAGGCGGGUUCCUGGCCCAUGACUGACGCUGAGGUGCGAAAGCCUGGGGAGCGAACG
rnacentral:rRNA from 1 species